rnacentral:rRNA from 1 species
CCCUUAGAUGUCCUGGGCCGCACGCGCGCUACACUGACGAAUGCAACGAGCUUAUAACCUUGUCCGAAAGGUCUGGGUAAUCUCCAAAUUUCGUCGUGAUGGGGAUAGAUUAUUGCAAUUAUUAAUCUUCAACGAGGAAUGCCUAGUAAGCGCAAGUCAUCAGCUUGCGUUGAUUACGUCCCUGCCCUUUGUACACACCGCCCGUCGCUCCUACCGAUUGAAUGGUCCGGUGAAGCGUUCGGACCGUGGCCUUUGGACGGUUCGCCGUCUGUUGGCUGCGGGAAGUUCGUUAAACCUUAUCAUUUAGAGGAAGGAGAAGUCGUAACA